GUGAAGACUUGCAGAAAGACGUUCGUCAGUCAUCUUCUCCACAGAGCUUGAAAAUGUUCUCAAACCAACACAUUUGAUCAGCACAGAAUUCUUGUGGAUGCACCUCAGCAAGUCCUUUUGCAGUUGUAUCCAUUAAAGUGCUAUGCAGACAUAAUGGGAAUGACUCACAUUGUAGAGCUUGGACAAAUUCACACAGCUUCUCAAGAGGAAUUCAUUAAAGAGCAGGUC